ACGAACGCUGGCGGCGUGCUUCACACAUGCCAGUCGCACGGAAAGGCCCUGCUUUUGUGGGGUGCUCGAGUGGCGAACGGGUGAGUAACACGUGAGUAACCUGCCCUUGACUUUGGGAUAACUUCAGGAAACUGGGGCUAAUACCGGAUAGGAGCUCCUGCUGCAUGGUGGGGGUUGGAAAGUUUCGGCGGUUGGGGAUGGACUCGCGGCUUAUCAGCUUGUUGGUGGGGUAGUGGCUUACCAAGGCUUUGACGGGUAGCCGGCCUGAGAGGGUGACCGGCCACAUUGGGACUGAGAUACGGCCCAGACUCCUACGGGAGGCAGCAGUGGGGAAUAUUGCACAAUGGGCGGAAGCCUGAUGCAGCAACGCCGCGUGCGGGAUGACGGCCUUCGGGCUGUAAACCGCUUUCGCCUGUGACGAAGCGUGAGUGACGGUAAUGGGUAAAGAAGCACCGGCUAACUACGUG
rnacentral:rRNA from 1 species